rnacentral:rRNA from 1 species
CCUACGGGAGGCAGCAGUAGGGAAUCUUCCACAAUGGGCGAAAGCCUGAUGGAGCAACGCCGCGUGGGUGAAGAAGGUCUUCGGAUCGUAAAACCCUGUUGUUAGAGAAGAAAAAGCGUUAGAGUAACUGUUCACGCUUCGACGGUAUCUAACCAGAAAGCCACGGCUAACUACGUGCCAGCAGCCGCGGUAAUACGUAGGUGGCAAGCGUUGUCCGGUUUUAUUGGGCGUAAAGGGAGCGCGGGCGGUCGUUUAAGUCUGAUGUGAAAGCCGUCGGCUCAACCGGGGGGGGGAAUUGGAAACUGGGAGACUUGAGUGCAGAAGAGGAGAGUGGAAUUCCAGGUGUAGCGGUGAAAUGCGUAGAUAUAUGGAAGAACACCAGUGGCGAAGGCGGCUCUCUGGUCUGUAACUGACGCUGAGGCUCGAAAGCGUGGGUAGCAAACAGGAUUAGAUACCCCUGUAGUC